UGGGGAAUUUUGGACAAUGGGCGAAAGCCUGAUCCAGCAAUGCCGCGUGUGUGAAGAAGGCCUUCGGGUUGUAAAGCACUUUUGUCCGGAAAGAAAUCCGCCUGGCUAAUACCAGGGCGGGAUGACGGUACCGGAAGAAUAAGCACCGGCUAACUACGUGCCAGCAGCCGCGGUAAUACGUAGGGUGCGAGCGUUAAUCGGAAUUACUGGGCGUAAAGCGUGCGCAGGCGGUUAUGCAAGACAGGUGUGAAAUCCCCGGGCUCAACCUGGGAACUGCACUUGUGACUGCAUGACUAGAGUGCGUCAGAGGGAGGUGGAAUUCCGCGUGUAGCAGUGAAAUGCGUAGAGAUGCGGAGGAACACCGAUGGCGAAGGCAGCCUCCUGGGAUGACACUGACGCUCAUGCACGAAAGCGUGGGGAGCAAACA
rnacentral:rRNA from 1 species